rnacentral:rRNA from 1 species
GAUGAACGCUGGCGGCGUGCCUAAUACAUGCAAGUCGAGCGAACGGACGAGAAGCUUGCUUCUCUGAUGUUAGCGGCGGACGGGUGAGUAACACGUGGAUAACCUACCUAUAAGACUGGGAUAACUUCGGGAAACCGGAGCUAAUACCGGAUGAUAUUUUGAACCGCAUGGUUCAAAAGUGAAAGACGGUCUUGCUGUCACUUAUAGAUGGAUCCGCGCUGCAUUAGCUAGUUGGUAAGGUAACGGCUUACCAAGGCAACGAUGCAUAGCCGACCUGAGAGGGUGAUCGGCCACACUGGAACUGAGACACGGUCCAGACUCCUACGGGAGGCAGCAGUAGGGAAUCUUCCGCAAUGGGCGAAAGCCUGACGGAGCAACGCCGCGUGAGUGAUGAAGGUCUUCGGAUCGUAACUCUGUUAUUAGGGAAGAACAUAUGUGUAAGUAACUGUGCACAUCUUGACGGUACCUAAUCAGAAAGCCACGGCUAACUACGUG